UGUAUGUUGCUUCUUUAAAAAUAUGGUUGUGGUAUUAGGCCUAACAAUUAAUUAAACAGGUUAAGACACCUGUAUCACCCAAUUUAUCUGAGUCUGAUUGCCAGCUCUGGCUCCUGACUCCAGCAUCCUACUAACUGUGGACCCCGAGAGGCAGCAGGUGAUGGCUCAAGGACACUGACAUGUCCACAUGGGAGACCUGGAUUGAGAUUCUCAGCUCUCAGCUUCUUUCAGCCUGGCCCCCAUCUCACCUGUUGUGGAAAUCUGGGGUGUGAACUGACAGAUGAAAGCUCGCUGUCUAUCUCUCUCUGCCUCUCAGAUAGAGAUAGGUGAUACAUGAUCUAGGAUAGGUAGACAGAUAGGUGAUACAUGAUCUAGGAUAGGUAGAUAGGUGAUACAUGAUCUAGGAUAAGUAGAUAGGUGAUACAUGAUCUAGGAUAGGUAGGUAGAUAGGGAAACUGAUUGAACAACACAAAAUAAUCAUUCCUGAUAGGAAAUACUUUUCUUUUAAUGUCCUAACUUUGAAGAUGAAAUCUAAAUUCCUAGGGUGUAUUUUUCAUGGCUCUGAUCACUUAGUGUUCUAUGUUGGAAGAGGGGAAAGACUGGUUAGGAAUCCAGUGUAAACAGAAGUUAAGAAAAUAGCAUGUAGGUCAGAUGAACUGUAAAUAUUUUAGAGGUGACUGUUUGUAAUUUAAGGUGGAAGACAGAACAGGGGAGGUGAUUAUACAACUGCUUGAAAUAGUCACUGUGACGCAGAGCAGAGAAAACCUGGCAAUUUGGGGUGUUGGUGACGCUGAGAGACCAGACGUGUAGAUGGGCUGGUGUGGAGGUGAAUGAUGAGGCAUUUGUUUAGGAGUCAGCUGUGGAGGAGAAAGUGCAGUUAAGAAGCAUUCAACUUCAGAUUUUUAGAUUGGACUAAUGAUUUUAUAAAUAUUCAUCCUUCAAACGAUUCUUAAGGCUCUUUUCCCUUUCUUGGGAAAUCUUUGAGCUGCCUGUAGCCUCACAAAUAUAAUACCAGGGUGAGUCAAAGCAUUGGCAGAAAGAAAUUGAAUUAAAUGGAAACCCAUGUUUUUGCUGUAAGACCCCUCAUAGAUGAUUUUGUAAUCAUAGGGGUUGUUUACACCUUUCUUUAUUACGGGGGUGCUUUCUGUGAACCACAAACCAAAAGAACCCCAGCCGUGGUGGGAAGUUUUACCUUCAUAGUCAUUCAUCAGCCCCUCUGCUAAGCACCGAGAACCCACCAUAAACUAGAAACCAGGGGUCUGCAGCAUAACUCACUGUGGCCUCCAUUCUCCACUGCUCCCUCCUAUUAAUGUUGGGUUAUUACAUCCAAGUUGUUCUAGGGAAAAAAUUAUGACUAAGUGCUGCACUCUAAAAACUCACAGAUAAUAAGGGAAGUAAAAUGUGUAUAAACAGUACAAAAACCAAAAGCAGUAGGGGAAAGCAGACAUGUAGUAAGGUAGGUAGUUUGCUGUGAAGGCAUUGUGACUUUUAGGACAGCAUAAAGUAAGUGCCAUUUAGCUAAGUGGAGGGAGGGAGCAUACAAGUGGAAAAAGCUAUUGCAAGUAAUUUUCAAAUUCCAGGCAUAUUCAGUGCAUAAAAAAAGGAAAUGAAACUUGAACAUAAGAAGGUUUUUUCAGUAUUGUCUGCAUGAAUAUAAUAACAUAUAAAAUUUAAGUUAUGAAAAAGGAGAAGAACCAAUGGUAGAAUCUAAAUAUCCUUCUAUUCUAUCUGAACUACCUGUUCUACACCCCUAGAGAUGGCCACUAGUUCUAGUUCCUGUGUUUCCAUCCAGAGCUGUUCUGCCUUUCAGAGGGGUUGGUGUAUCUUUGUUGACAUAAACAAAUCAUUGCAUAUUAUAUACACUGCUUACUUUGUUUUUCUCACUUAAUACAGCUUAGCAAUUGUUCUGUAAAUGUAUAUACAUAUUGACCUAAUUUUUUUCUAAUGGUGGCGCAGUGUUUAUCAGUUACCUAUAGUGAAAGUAUCGAGUUAAAACCAAAAAUCUAAUCUAGGGGGAAGGCUGGGCCAGAUUUGAGAAUGUGCUUCCAAAGCAAGAGGAACACAUUCAAAGGCACUGGGCUUUAAGAGGUAGAAUGUGAGGGCACUGUUGUGCAUAGGCAGGUUUAGAAGGGUGGGUAGGCAAGGGAUGGAAUAAAAAAGUAAAAAGAAGUGAGUGUGAAUGAAAUCCAGACUUGUGCCCCGUGGUCCUGGAAAUGAGCCAUCCAGGGUGGGUCUAGCGCAUCGCUACGGUUACUCACGGUGUUCUGAACACCACCCUCCCUGAUGGUGUUUGUGCCUCUGUCGGUAGCAUGAGUUAAACGUGGUGCAAGGUUUUUCUUCCACUUGGAUGAAGUCAAGCAUAGGACCUGUGAUGCUGACACUGCAUCAAGAGGAGCUUGUGACGUGCAUCCAUUUCAUCUCAACUUAGGCUUUCACCUUGUAGCGUGCGGUAGCAUUGUUCCUUUUCUUUUAUUCUAUUCAAUCAUUUUUUCCAGUUCCUGAAUAAGCAAGUUCUUGAAGAGCUUAUCAAGCAGUGCAAGGAAUAAUCUCAGGAAAAAUAAGAGGAAUGAAAUACCAAAAAUAUGCAGUGUACUGUGUCAGUGUAUUGUUUAGUACAGUGGUAUUUAUUUUCAUUUUAGUGUUCCUAAGGUAGUAACUCAAAAUUAGUAAGCACCUCAAAGGUUUCCUUUGUACUGGAGCAAACAUGAAUAAGAGUUCCAAGUGAAUACUCGGUUUUAGUGAAAACAGAGACUGUGUCCCCAUGUUCCAGCUUACCAUUCUCUCCCCGUGCCCAGCGAAACACCUAGCACAUAGUAAGUACCACAAUAUUUGUGAUUUUACACUAAGGGCUUAUGUUUUAAAAGAAAAUACAUCGGCUUUAAAUUUGAUGGUAAACAGUCAUAUCUGAGAUGUAUAAAAAAGGUUGUUGGGACAGACAAUUUGUCCUAAUGAUUAGGAUACCCUUAGCCCACCCCAGAGUGCCUGGAUUCCAGCUCUGCCUCCUGAUUCCAGCUUCCUGCCAGCAGCAGCAGGGAUGGCCCAAGUAGUUGGGCUCCUACUGACCUCUACAUGUAGAAUACCUGGACUGACAUCAGGAGCACUGGUGAGUGAACCAGCAGAGAGAGAGAGAAGGCAAGCUCUUACUCUCCCCUUCCCCUGUGCCCCCUCUCUGCCUCUCAAAUAGUUUUUUAAUUUUUUUUAAAUUUUCACCAUGCUUGAGGUAAGUCAGCUUGAGCAUGUCCCGAAUUGCACAUCUCUUCCCUCUCUUAUUCCCACUCUUAUAUUUUACAGUGAUCAUUUUUCAGUUAAGUUUCAGCACUUAAGAAGAAUUGUGUAUUGAUUACAGUAUUCAAGCUGACUUACCUCAAACGGUAGAGUUAGAAACAUACCAGGGGAUUCAAAUUCAAUCCCAUCGAGGUGGCAUGUACCAAUCCCAUCUCACUAGUCCCAGUGAUCAAUUUCUGUUCACAAUUGAUCGUAAUGAUAAGACUAAGAACCAAAGGGAUCACAUAAACAAGAAUAGUGUCUGCAAAUACUAGCUGAUAGAAGCAAAAAGGGAGAGAAUGAUCCAACAUGGGAAGUGAGAUACACAGCAGACCCAUAGAAUGGCAAAUGUCCUAAAAGCACUCUGGCCUCAUAAUCAGCCCUUAAGGCAUGUGGAUCUGGCUGAAAUGCCCAUGAGAGUAUUUCAGGCAUGGAAAGCCAAACACUCUGGGGGGGGAAAAAAAAAAACCUAAAUGAAAGAUCUCCACGAGUGAGAUCCCAGUGGAAAGAAUGGGUCAUCAAAGAAGGAGGUACCUUUCUCUGAAGGGAGGAGAGAACUUCCACUUUGACCAUGGCCUUGUCUAAAUAUGAUCAGAGUCAGUGAACUCAGGGGGCUUCCAUAGCCUUGGCAGCUCAUGACAAGAGCCUAGGGAGACUACUGAUGCCAUAGACAGGAGUGUCAAUUUGUUAAGUCAACAACAGGAGUCACUGUGCACUUACUCCCCAUGUAGGAUCUUUGUCCUUAGUGUGCUGUACAUUGAGAUUUAAUGCUAUAACUAGUACUCAAACAGUAUUUUUCACUUUAUGUUUCUGUGUGGGAGCAAACUGUUGAAAUCUUUACUUAAUGUAUGCUCAACUGAUCUUCUGUAUAUAAAGAGAAUCGAAAAUGAAUCUUGAUGUGAAUGGAAGGGGAGAGGGAGUGGAUAAGGGGAGGGUUGCGGGUGGGAGGGACGUUAUGGGGGGAAGCCAUUGUAAUCCAUAUUCUGUACUUUGGAAAUUUAUAUUCAUUAAAUAAAAAUUUUAAAGAAAAUUUUCACCAUGCAAAUAUGGAUUAAGGGUCAAAGGGAUCACAUAAAUGAAACCAAGUCUCUGCUAAUACUAACUGAUAGAAUUUUUAAAAGGAGAGAACAAUCCAACAUGGGAAGUGGGGCAGACUCACAGAAUGACAAACAACCCUAAACAGCACUCUGUCCUCAGAAUCAGCCCUUACGGCAUUGGGAUCUGUCUGAAAAGCCCAUGAGAGCAUUUCAGGCUGGGAAAGCCAAGACACUGUGGCAAAAAAAUGACCUACAUGAAAGAUCUCUGUGAAUGAGAUCCCAGUGGAAAGAAGGGGCCAUCAAAGAAGGAGGUACCUUUCUCUGGAGGGAGGAGAGAACUUCCACUUUGCUUAUGGCCCUGUCUAAAUAAUGUUAGAGUUUGUGAACUCAAGAGGCUUCCCUAGCCUUGGCAACUCGUGACAAGAGCCUCGAGUAAUCAGUGAUGUCAUAAAUAAAAGUGUCAAUUGUUAAAUCAACAACAGGAGUCACUGUGCAUUUGCUCCUCAUGUAGGUCCUCUGUCCUUAAUGAGUUGUACUGUGAGAAUUAAUGGUAAAACUAGUACUCAAACAGUAUUUUAUACUUCGUGUAUCUGUGUGGGUGCAAACUGUUGAAAUCUUUACUUAAUAUAGAGUUGAUCUUCUGUAUAUAAAGAUAAUUAAAAAUGAAUCUUAAUGAAGACUGAGAUGGGAGAGGGAAUAGGAGGUGGGAAGGAAGUGGAGGUAGCAGUGUGGGUAUGGGGAGAAGAAUGGCUAUAAUCCAAAAGCUAUAUGUAUGAAAUGUGUAUUUAUUAAAUAAAGCUUCCAAAAAUAAAUUUAAAAAAAUUAAAAAGUAGUUAAAAAUCUCCUUGACCAUUUGAGUGACAGGGUGGUGUAGAAGAUCACAGGCAAACAUGGUGCUGAAAGGAGGAACACUAAUUUGUCCAGCUCCGGAUGGCCAAGCAUCCUAGCACUGCUGUUUAGGGAUUGUUUUUCUCCCAGGGAGUUAAGUGGUGACUUUACAAGGCUGGUUGUUUAGGGUCAGACCCACUGGGGUGUGCUCAUUUGUUUCUCAGCAGGAAAAGGAAACAUCACUUUGCAUAGCUCCUUCCGAUCUGGAUCGUCUGUCAUAAAAUCCAGGGCUAGCAUGUCAGGCAAAUCAUGAGAUGUUCUAGCAUGCCUGUGGGUAAAUCAUUAUUUAUUGUUUCAUUGAGGUGGAAAAGAAAAGUAUCCUAUCAGUGUUCAAAUUCUACUGAAAGGUAUUAAGAAUAUAUUGGAUUAUCAUUCCAGCAACACAUUUGCAUAAUAAACUUUGGAACAAAAUGUCUUAGGAAAUAAAUUGUGUUUUGUCAAGCAGCGGUUUUAAUGAGUGUACUCUGGUUUCUCUGUAAAAUAUCACAGUGGUUAAAAGCGCAGUUCUACUCCUCUCAACUGUAGUAUCCUCAGCAAAUUAUGAGAGUACUUCAGAAAGUUUGUGGAAGAAUGAAAUUAAAGUAUAAGUUUAUUUUGAAAUCCAUGUUUAUGAGUAGUCUUCAGAAAAAGGUCAUAGAAAAUGUGUGUUAUGAAAAACUAUGGAUGAUUUCAAAAUUUCUUUGCACCAAAAUGAGCAUCUUUUAAUUCCAUUUUUCACAUAUUUUUAAAAGUGUACUCACGAAGUCAACAUUUCUGAGCCACAGCUUUACUGCCUGUAAAAUAAGAACGUUACCUUUGACUAUAGAGUUGGGAUGGCUAGCACAGCAUAUGUGAAAAGCAAAUAUUGUGACAUUUUCUAGAAAGAAGAUUUCAGUAGUCUGCAGGUUGUUUUGCAUUAUUACUUGUGAUAUAAAAGAUUUUUCAUCUUUCAAUUUUUUUCUAAGUUUCUAAAUUAUAACUAACAUGUUAUCAUAUAUGUCCAACUGAGACAUAUUACUAUGAAAUAAAUGUUCAGAUUUUCCACCAAACUGUUGUUCCUAAUAUUGUUAAAUGCCAUAUUUUUUUCUCAUGUUGACUUUUUAUAAAGUACCUAUUUGAGGCUCUUAAAAUAUCAAGAAAAUCAUUUCUCUGGGUGAGCAGGGCAGUAGAAACCUUUGUCUUCCCAUCAUCUCAGUCAUCACCCAAAAAAUACCAUUAAGAUUUUUCAUCUUCGCUUUUCAAAUUUCAGUAUGAUUGUCCUCAAAAAUAUUAUUCUUCAGCAUUUCUAACAAUUUGUAAAGAAACACAUGAAACCAGACUCCGAUUGAAAAUACACAGGAACAGAAUGGGACCCUUGCUCUCCUGAGCCAAGGUGGAACAGGUGUUCUGCCUCUUCAUUCCCAAUGCCUUUCACAGCCAGGGCAGCCUCUCUGCUAAGCAGAGCUGGGUGUUCUCACCCAGUUACCUGCCAGGCUCUUGUCAGUGUCAACAGGAAAGUCUCUUCAGGUGUAGGGCUGCAAAGGUGUGAUGCUGUUAUGGGAAUAUGUGUCCCAGUUUUCAUAUUCCAAGUUCUUGCCUUCACAGAGAUAAGAAUUCAAAGCAGAGGCAUAAGUAGGGUGCACAAAUUAGAGCAGGAUUUAUUGGUUUAUUUAAAAUGAGAGGGUGAAUAUACAUUCACAUAUGCGUGUGGGCCACCCACACUGAGCAAUACCCAUCGUGAGUAGGCCAGAGGUUGCCUGUGAGGAGAGAGUAUGGGAGGAGGCCAGAGAAGGAACAGGAACCAGCAAGAGCCAGAAGCCAAAAGCAAACAGGGCCAAUCACCUGUGUAACAGUCUCUUUUAUGGAGAGGGAUUGGUUCCCUAAUUGAAUACAGGGGAGGAGUUUAGGUUGGGUUUGGUGUGUUUGAGUCUUUCUGGGAUUAUGGCACCUCCACAUAGAGUUUAACUUGCACCUGACCAUCAUGGAUCUUUUCCUUCCUGGUGUAGAAACAAGUGCAUCAUGGGAAAGUGGGCAUACUGGAUUGACAGAGAAGGUGUGGAGUUAUAAUGCAGGGCUGUGCAGAAAUUAUGAAAAAUCUUUCAGCUCCUCUGUUCCACUCAGCUUCUUGCCUGUUUCCACUGUAUCAAUGCCUUUUCUCACCCAUCAUAAAGGUCAUGGUCAAUAAGCCUGUGAUAAAAGAUUAACAAGAGAAAUGCAUAUCAGCUUUAUUUCAUCAAAACUUUAUAUUACCCAAGAGCCUUGAGAAAUGCAGAUGCAAGCAUCCUGGGAAAACUUUUUAUGUUUAGGUUCAACAGCUGUGUAGAAAUGUAACUGGAUGAAAAGAGUAUGACCUAAUGGUAAUAGACUGGGAGGGGAAACUCGGAUAGGCCUGUCCAGAUUCUGCUGAGCCUCUCUGCGUGGCCCUCCUUCCUGCAGAUCAGACAGGAUCCCCUCCGGAAUGAGAGCCUUAGAAUCUGUCAGACAACACGGGUUGGAGAAUUUCUGUAUGGCCAGCUCGUACAGAGAAAGGGGAAAGUUGGAGUUGUAAGAUUAUUCAUUUGUUGAUUUGUUUAUUUAGUUGAAAGUCAGAGUUGCUGUGACUCAGAGCUUCCAUCCACUGGUUCACUGCUCAAGUUGCUCCAAUGGCCAGGGCUGAGCCCGGCCAAAGCCAGGGGCCAGGAGCUUCAUCCAGUCUCCCACAUGGGUGGCAGGGUCCCAAGCACUUGAGCCAUCUUCUGCUGCAUUUUCCAAGCCAUUAGCAGGGAGCUGGAUGGGAAGUGAAGCAGCCGGGACACCCACCAUUGCCCACAAUGAGAUGCCGGCAUUCUAAGCGGUGGCUUUACUUGCUAUACCACAACGCCAGCCCCUAGAGUUGUAUUUCUCAGCUUUAUGACUGGCUUUGGGAGAAUGCGGUUCUAGGUUCUAUGAUCCAUCUUGAAAAAGAGGAAUGUAAAUUCUGUGGAUUGUCUUGUGGGGGAAAAAGGAGCAGGGAAAAGAAAGGCAGAAGAAGAUCAGAAAGAUCUUGCUUUUGGUAUCCUUUUCCUUCCGCAGGCCAAGGCACCGUGCCUCGGGUAUCGUGUUCUGGCCCCAGCAGCAGAAAGGCUGGGUUUGUUUAUUUCAACUUAGUAAGAAUCUUAUGGGCAAGUGACAUUAAGAAUUAUCUCAAGUUAGUAUUUCAGGCAUGGAAAGCCAAGACACUCUGGCAAAAAGAUCUCUGUGAGUGAGAUCCCAGUGGAAAGAACAGGUCUUCAAAGAGGGAGGUGCCUUUCUCUGAAGGGAGGAGAGAACCUCCACUUUGACUAUGACCGUGUCUAAACAAGAUAAGAGUCGGAGAACUCAAGGGGCUUCCAUAGCCUUGGAAACUCAUAACUGGUGCAUAGGGAGAUUACUGAUGCCAUAAACAGGAGUGUCAAUUGGUAAAGUCAACAACAGGAGUCACUGUGCACUUACUCCUCAUGUAGGAUCUCGGUCCUUAACAUGCUGUACACUGAGGCUUAAUGCUAUAACGAGUACUCAAACAGUAUAUUUCACUUUGUGUUUCUAUGGGGGUGCAAACGACUGAAAUCUUUACUUAAUGUACACUAAACUGAUCUUCUGUACAAUCAAAAAAAAAAGAAAGAAAGAAAGAAAGAAAUUUUCAAUUCCCAACUUGACUCUCACUGGGAUUAAACAUGACAAUAGGUCUGAUCUGAUUUCAUCAUCAUUUAAAAAAAAUCAUCUAUUAUUUUUCACUUUAUGUUUCUGUGUGGGAGCAAACUGUUGAAAUACUUACUUAAGGUAUACUAAGCUGAUCUUCUGUAUAUUAAGAUAAUCGAAAAUGAAUCUUGAUGUGAAUGGAAGGGGAGAGGGAGUGGGAAAGGGGAGGGUUGUUGGUGGGAGGGACGGUAUGGGAGGGGAAGCCAUUGUAACCCAUGAGUCGUACUUUGGAAAUUUAUAUUCAUUAAAUAAAAGAUAAAAAAAAAAAAAGAA